rnacentral:rRNA from 1 species
GACGAACGCUGGCGGCGUGCUUAACACAUGCAAGUCGAACGGAAAGGCCCUGCUUUUGUGGGGUGCUCGAGUGGCGAACGGGUGAGUAACACGUGAGUAACCUGCCCUUGACUUUGGGAUAACUUCAGGAAACUGGGGCUAAUACCGGAUAGGAGCUCCUGCUGCAUGGUGGGGGUUGGAAAGUUUCGGCGGUUGGGGAUGGACUCGCGGCUUAUCAGCUUGUUGGUGGGGUAGUGGCUUACCAAGGCUUUGACGGGUAGCCGGCCUGAGAGGGUGACCGGCCACAUUGGGACUGAGGUACGGCGCAGACUCCUACGGGAGGCAGAAGUGGGGAAUAUUGCACAAUGGGCGGAAGCCUGAUGCAGCAACGCCGCGUGCGGGAUGACGGCCUUCGGGUUGUAAACCGCUUUCGCCUGUGACGAAGCGUGAGUGACGGUAAUGGGUAAAGAAGCACCGGCUAACUACGUG